rnacentral:rRNA from 1 species
CUAGGCACGAGGCUUGCUAUGUCCGUCGCAUUCUGGAUCGAUUCCGGAGAGGGAGCCUGAGAAACGGCUACCACAUCUAAGGAAGGUAGCAGGCGCGCAAAUUACCCAAUCCUGACACAGGGAGGUAGUGACAAGAAAUAACAAUACAGGGCCUAACGGUCUUGUAAUUGGAAUGAGUGAAGUAUAAACCCCUUUACGAGUAUCAAUUGGAGGGCAAGUCUGGUGCCAGCAGCCGCGGUAAUUCCAGCUCCAAUAGCGUAUAUUAAAGUUGUUGCAGUUAAAAAGCUCGUAGUUGGAUUUCUGUUGUAUAAUUUAUAAUAUUACCAAGGUAAUUAUUAUAUUAUCAACAUCCUUCCUAUUAUAUUCUAAAUAUAUAGGAAAUUUUACUUUGAGAAAAUUAGAGUGCUUAAAGCAGGCAACUGCCUUGAAUACUCCAGCAUGGAAUAAUAAGUAAGGACUUUUGUCUUUCUUAUUGGUUCUAGGACAAAAGUAAUGGUUAAUAGGGACAGUUGGGGGCAUUCGUAUUUAACAGUCAGAGGUGAA